rnacentral:rRNA from 1 species
UACGGGGGGUGCAAGCGUUAUCCGGAUUUACUGGGUUUAAAGGGUGCGUAGGUGGAUAAUUAAGUCAGUGGUGGAAUCUUCAGGCUUAACCUGGAAACUGCCAUUGAUACUAUUUAUCUUGAAUACUUUGGAGGUAAGCGGAAUAUGUCAUGUAGCGGUGAAAUGCUUAGAUAUGACAUAGAACACCAAUUGCGAAGGCAGCUUACUACACAGUAAUUGACACUGAGGCACGAAAGCUUGGGGAUCAAACAGG